rnacentral:sRNA from 1 species
GUUAUCCUGUGGUGUGCGCCACGCCAAUGCUUUUACCCACAGAUUCAUAAAAGGAUUCCGGGUCGGUUACGCGGAUGCCACGCCCCCGAUUGUAUCGCCAGGGGAAGGCAGAAAGCGGCCGCAGGUCUCCGCCCUGCCUGAGCGGCGGGUGAAAAAGCAACGGCGAACGGCACUUGCGGGAUAAUU